GAUGAACGCUAGCGGGAGGCCUAACACAUGCAAGCCGAGCGGUAUUGUUUCUUCGGAAAUGAGAGAGCGGCGUACGGGUGCGUAACACGUGUGCAACCUGCCUUUAUCUGGGGGAUAGCCUUUCGAAAGGAAGAUUAAUACUCCAUAACAUAUUGAACGGCAUCGUUUAAUAUUGAAAGCUCCGGCGGAUAGAGAUGGGCACGCGCAAGAUUAGCUAGUUGGUGAGGUAACGGCUCACCAAGGCGAUGAUCUUUAGGGGGCCUGAGAGGGUGAUCCCCCACACUGGUACUGAGACACGGACCAGACUCCUACGGGAGGCAGCAGUGAGGAAUAUUGGUCAAUGGGUGCAAGCCUGAACCAGCCAUCCCGCGUGAAGGACGACUGCCCUAUGGGUUGUAAACUUCUUUUGUAUAGGGAUAAACCUACCCUCGUGAGGGUAGCUGAAGGUACUAUACGAAUAAGCACCGGCUAACUCCGUG
rnacentral:rRNA from 1 species